rnacentral:rRNA from 1 species
UGGGGAAUAUUGCACAAUGGGCGAAAGCCUGAUGCAGCAACGCCGCGUGAGGGACGACGGCCUUCGGGUUGUAAACCUCUUUUAGCAAGGAAGAAGCGAAAGUGACGGUACUUGCAGAAAAAAGCGCCGGCUAACUACGUGCCAGCAGCCGCGGUAAUACGUAGGGCGCAAGCGUUAUCCGGAAUUAUUGGGCGUAAAGAGCUCGUAGGCGGUUUGUCGCGUCUGCUGUGAAAACCCGAGGCUCAACCUCGGGCCUGCAGUGGGUACGGGCAGACUAGAGUGCGGUAGGGGAGAUUGGAGCUCCUGGUGUAGCGGUGGAAUGCGCAGAUAUCAGGAAGAACACCGAUGGCGAAGGCAGAUCUCUGGGCCGUAACUGACGCUGAGGAGCGAAAAGGGUGGGGAGCAAAACAGGCUUAGAUACCCUGGUAGUCCACCCCGUAAACGUUGGGAACUAGUUGUGGGGUCCAUUCCACGGAUUCCGUGACGCAGCUAACGCAUUAAGUUCCCCGCCUGGGGAGUACGGCCGCAAGGCUAAAACUCAAAUGAAUUGACGGGGUCAUAGCUGUUUCCU